rnacentral:rRNA from 1 species
UACGUAGGGGGCUAGCGUUGUCCGGAAUCAUUGGGCGUAAAGGGUGCGUAGGCGGCGGGGAAAGUCUGAUGUGAAAUCCUGGGGCUCAACCCUGGAACUGCAUUGGAUACUUCCUUGCUAGAGUACUGGAGAGGAAACUGGAAUUUACGGUGUAGCAGUGAAAUGCGUAGAGAUCGUAAGGAAGACCAGUGGCGAAGGCGAGUUUCUGGACAGUUACUGACGCUGAGGCACGAAGGCCAGGGGAGCAAACGGG